rnacentral:rRNA from 1 species
CAGUCGCCGCGGGAAUACGUAGGUGGCGAGCGUUGUCCGGAUUUAUUGGGCGUAAAGGGAGUGUAGGCGGUCUUUUAAGUCUGAUGUGAAAGCCCACGGCUCAACCGUGGAGGGUCAUUGGAAACUGGGAGACUUGAGUGCAGAAGAGGAGAGCGGAAUUCCAUGUGUAGCGGUGAAAUGCGUAGAUAUAUGGAGGAACACCAGUGGCGAAGGCGGCUCUCUGGUCUGUAACUGACGCUGAGGCUCGAAAGCGUGGGGAGCAAACAGGAUUAGAUACCCGUGUAGUCCCUGUCUCUUAUAC